rnacentral:rRNA from 1 species
UACGGAGGGUGCAAGCGUUAUCCGGAUUCACUGGGUUUAAAGGGAGCGUAGGUGGGUUGGUAAGUCAGUGGUGAAAUCCCCGAGCUUAACUUGGGAACUGCCAUUGAUACUAUUAAUCUUGAAUACUGUGGAGGUCAGCGGAAUAUGUCAUGUAGCGGUGAAAUGCUUAGAUAUGACAUAGAACACCAAUUGCGAAGGCAGCUGGCUACACAAAUAUUGACACUGAGGCUCGAAAGCGUGGGGAUCAAACAGG